GAAUUUUAUAUUUAUUUAGAUUUAUAUAAUUAUAAUAAAUAUUUUAUUGGGAGGAUGAUUAAAUUUAGGUAACUUUAAUUUUGAAAUACAUUAAUUAAUGAUGAAUUAAAUUAAAAAUGAAUAAUUAAUAAUUAAUAAAGAAUUAAUUACCUUAGGGAUAACAGCAUAAUAUUUUUUAGUAGUUCAUAUAUAAAGAAUUGUUUAU
rnacentral:rRNA from 1 species